rnacentral:misc_RNA from 1 species
AUGGCCGCCGGAGACCCUU